GAUGAACGCUGGCGGCGUGCUUAACACAUGCAAGUCGAACGAUGAAAGCGGGAGCUUGCUCCUGCUGGAUUAGUGGCGAACGGGUGAGUAACACGUGAGCAAUCUGCCCCGAACUCUGGGAUAAGCGUUGGAAACGACGUCUAAUACCGGAUACGACGCGCGAAGGCAUCUUCUGCGCGUGGAAAGAAUUUCGGUUCGGGAUGAGCUCGCGGCCUAUCAGCUAGUUGGCGAGGUAACGGCUCACCAAGGCGACGACGGGUAGCCGGCCUGAGAGGGUGACCGGCCACACUGGGACUGAGACACGGCCCAGACUCCUACGGGAGGCAGCAGUGGGGAAUAUUGCACAAUGGGCGCAAGCCUAAUGCAGCAACGCCGCGUGAGGGACGACGGCCUUCGGGUUGUAAACCUCUUUUAGCAGGGAAGAAGCGAAGGUGACGGUACCUGCAGAAAAAGCACCGGCUAACUACGUGCCAGCCGCCGCCGUAA
rnacentral:rRNA from 1 species